UGGACAGAUUAUUGUAUUCGACUGUAUUCACGACGUGAAAUAAGGGAUUACACUGUUUUAAAACGGAAAGUGAAUCAAUUAACAUAAUAGAUUUCU
rnacentral:pre_miRNA from 1 species